CAUCUUUCUCACAAAUCAGAACUCUUCCUCCAGAACUCCUCGUUUACUUCCCUAUCCGUGCAGCGCUUUGUCAGACCGCCAUAGCAGGCGAUUCUCUCUCUACUCUUCUCUCAUCUCACGGUCUAUCCUUUAUCUCCUAUUCUCUCCUUUCCUACUUAUCUUCUUGCUGAGGCCCUUAAUUCGAAAUACGGAAAGGAAUGGUGAAGCUUCUGGUCUACGUUGAAGCUCUCAUGGAGUUCGCAAAACUCCGUCGCCGCUUUAAUGAUCUCAACUCUCAAAUUUAAACAAAGUUCAGCCAGAAAUUGAUUUUGAAAAAUCAAUGCAUCUGCGGGCAGUGAUGCUCAAGUGGAGGAUGGUAUUUGGUGCAGACACUACCUGAAGGUUAUACAGGAGCAUACAAUAUCUAAACAAUUGAUAAGAAGGAAUGAAGAACUUCAACAAAUGAGCUAGAAAAUUCAUCCAAUGCCUCCAAACUGUCGAUGAAUGGAGAUGCAAGAAAUACGGUGGAUGUAAAAGCCCGGAUUGUUAAAGAGCCUAAUGGCAAAUCUAAGAUAUGGAAGCUCACUGAAAUUACUGAAUCAUCACAGUGCCGAUCCUUGAAGCUUCCUGAGAACCUCAGAGUGACUAAGGUAAUUCUGUUCUUCUUCUUUCUCUGGAUCCUUAUCUUGAAUGGUUAAAGGAGUUGACUAAAGAUUCUGCAGGUUAUAUCUGCCACAUACAACCUAUUCAGCAGUUUAAGAAAUGUGAAUAUAUUAGUUUGUACCAUGACCCUUUGACAUGCUUGCUAUUUUGAAUAUAAAGUUUUAUGUUUCGUACAUCAUGAUUGAAUUUUGAUUAUUUCUUGCUUAUUGCUUCAUUUUAUUUUGUAGCCACAGAAUAUAAGAAGAAUGUUGCAUCGCCGAACAGUCAGAAAGGAUCACCAAGUGGAAGUAACAUUGCUCCACAGAUUCAUGCAAGUGCUCGUUGAACAUAAUUUCUAGGAUUUAUUGUAGUUAUUUUCCUUGUAUUGAGUGAAUGUGAAAUACCACUUGAAAUUUUAAUACAUUUUAUGAUGUAUUUCUAGAAUAUUUAUAUUUUUAUA